AACGAACGCUGGCGGCAUGCCUAACACAUGCAAGUCGAACGAGACCUUCGGGUCUUGUGGCGCACGGGUGCGUAACGCGUGGGAACCUGCCCUUAGGUUCGGCAUAACUCCCCGAAAGGGGUGCUAAUACCGGAUCAUGUCUUCGGACCAAAGAUUUAUCGCCUUUGGAUGGGCCCGCGUUGGAUUAGCUAGUUGGUAGGGUAAAAGCCUACCAAGGCGACGAUCCAUAGCUGGUUUGAGAGAAUGAUCAGCCACACUGGGACUGAGACACGGCCCAGACUCCUACGGGAGGCAGCAGUGGGGAAUAUUGGACAAUGGGCGAAAGCCUGAUCCAGCAAUGCCGCGUGAGUGAUGAAGGCCUUAGGGUUGUAAAGCUCUUUUACCCGGGAUGAUAAUGACAGUACCGGGAGAAUAAGCUCCGGCUAACUCCGUG
rnacentral:rRNA from 1 species